GACGAACGCUGGCGGCGUGCUUAACACAUGCAAGUCGAACGGACAGGCCCUGCUUUCAGGGGACUCGCGAGGGGAACGGGUGUGUAACACGUGGGUGAUCUGCCCUGCACUCUGGGUUAAAGCGGGGGAAAUGGGUUUAAUACCGGAUAUGAGCCCGUUUUAGUGUGAUUGUUGGAAAGUGUUUUCGGUGUAGGUUGAGCUCGCGGCCUAUCAGCUUGUUGGUGGGGGAAUGGCCUACCAAGGCGGGGACGGGUUGCCGGCCUGAGAGGGUGGACGGCCACAUUGGGACUGAGAUACGGCCCAGACUCCUACGGGAGGCAGCAGUGGGGAAUAUUGCACAAUGGGCGCAAGCCUGAUGCAGCGACGCCGCGUGGGGGAUGACGGCCUUCGGGUUGUAAACUCUUUUCGCUAGGGACGAAGCUUUUUGUGACGGUACCUAGAUAAGAAGCACCGGCUAACUACGUG
rnacentral:rRNA from 1 species